rnacentral:rRNA from 1 species
UACGAAGGGGGCUAGCGUUGUUCGGAAUCACUGGGCGUAAAGCGCACGUAGGCGGAUCUUUAAGUCAGGGGUGAAAUCCCGAGGCUCAACCUCCGGAACUGCCUUUGAUACUGGGGAUCUCGAGUCCGGGAGAGGUGAGUGGAACUGCGAGUGUAGAGGUGAAAUUCGUAGAUAUUCGCAAGAACACCAGUGGCGAAAGCGGCUCACUGGCCCGGAACUGACGCUGAGGUGCGAAAGCGUGGGGAGCAAACAGG